rnacentral:rRNA from 1 species
AUUGAACGCUGGCGGCAGGCUUAACACAUGCAAGUCGAGCGGAGAUGAGGUGCUUGCACCUUAUCUUAGCGGCGGACGGGUGAGUAAUGCUUAGGAAUCUGCCUAUUAGUGGGGGACAACAUUCCGAAAGGAAUGCUAAUACCGCAUACGUCCUACGGGAGAAAGCAGGGGAUCUUCGGACCUUGCGCUAAUAGAUGAGCCUAAGUCGGAUUAGCUAGUUGGUGGGGUAAAGGCCUACCAAGGCGACGAUCUGUAGCGGGUCUGAGAGGAUGAUCCGCCACACUGGGACUGAGACACGGCCCAGACUCCUACGGGAGGCAGCAGUGGGGAAUAUUGGACAAUGGGGGGAACCCUGAUCCAGCCAUGCCGCGUGUGUGAAGAAGGCCUUAUGGUUGUAAAGCACUUUCAGCGAGGAGGAAGGGAUGUAUGUCAAUAGCAUGCAUUUUUGACGUUACUCGCAGAAGAAGCACCGGCUAACUCUGUGCCAGCCGCCGCAGUAAUAC